rnacentral:rRNA from 1 species
GGAAUAUUGGACAAUGGGGGGAACCCUGAUCCAGCCAUGCCGCGUGUGUGAAGAAGGCCUUAUGGUUGUAAAGCACUUUAAGCGAGGAGGAGGCUCUUUUGGUUAAUACCCAAGAUGAGUGGACGUUACUCGCAGAAUAAGCACCGGCUAACUCUGUGCCAGCAGCCGCGGUAAUACAGAGGGUGCGAGCGUUAAUCGGAUUUACUGGGCGUAAAGCGUGCGUAGGCGGCUUUUUAAGUCGGAUGUGAAAUCCCCGAGCUUAACUUGGGAAUUGCAUUCGAUACUGGGAAGCUAGAGUAUGGGAGAGGAUGGUAGAAUUCCAGGUGUAGCGGUGAAAUGCGUAGAGAUCUGGAGGAAUACCGAUGGCGAAGGCAGCCAUCUGGCCUAAUACUGACGCUGAGGUACGAAAGCAUGGGGAGCAAACA